UACAGACGCUCUUCCGAUCUGUUACGCGGCCCCGCGCGGUCAGCGUCUGCAACUUCUUAGAGGGACAAGUGGCGUUCAGCCACGCGAGACUGAGCAAUAACAGGUCUGUGAUGCCCUUAGAUGUCCGGGGCUGCACGCGCGCCACAAUGGGCGGAUCAACGUGUGCCUACCCUGCGCCGAGAGGCGCGGGUAACCCGUUGAAACCCGCUCGGAAGAGCCCAG